GUUUGAUGACGUAUAGAUUAAGACUUUCAUUCUUCUGAGAAAUUACAAAUGUGGAAUUCAUACGGGGACCUGAACUGAACAAGC